GACGAACGCUGGCGGCGUGCCUAACACAUGCAAGUCGAACGGAAAGGCCCUGCGCUUGCUCUGCGCUCGAGUGUCGAACGCGUGUGUAUCACGUGUGUAACCUCCCCCUUACUUCGGGAUAACAUCAGGAGACUGGGUCUCUUACCGCACAUGACCUCCUGCGGCAUGUUUCGGGUUGGUAAGUGGCGGCGUUUGGGGAUGGACUCGUGGCUUAGCAUCUUGUUGGUGGGGUAGUGGCGUACAAAGGCUCUGACGGGUAGCCGGCCUGCGAGGGUGACCGGCCACAGUGGGACUCAGGAGCGGGCAGGAGUCAUACGGGGGGCAGCAGUGGGGAACAGUGCGCGCUGGGCGGAGGCCGGAUACAGGGACGUCGGGUGCGGGAUGACGGCUUUCGGGUUAGAAACCGCUUUCGCCUGGAACGAAGCGUGUGUGACGGUAAUGGGUAAGAAAGCAACGGCUAACUACGUG
rnacentral:rRNA from 1 species